CUACGGGCGGCACCAGUGAGGAAUUUUGCGCAAUGGGGGAAACCCUGACGCAGCAACGCCGCGUGAGCGAAGAAGGCCCUCGGGUCGUAAAGCUCUGUCAAGUGGGAAAAAAAUUUUUUGAUCAAUAGUCAAAAGACUUGAUGGUACCACUGGAGGAAGCACCGGCUAACUCCGUGCCAGCAGCCGCGGUAAUACGGAGGGUGCAAGCGUUGUUCGGAUUUACUGGGCGUAAAGAGCGUGUAGGCGGUUUAGCAAGUCAGAUGUGAAAGCCCUGGGCUCAACCCGGGAAGUGCAUUUGAAACUGCUUCACUAGGGUAUGGGAGAGGAGAUUGGAAUUCCUGGUGUAGAGGUGAAAUUCGUAGAUAUCAGGAGGAACACCCGUGGCGAAGGCGAUUCUCUGGACCAAUACUGACGCUGAGACGCGAAAGCGUGGGGAGCAAACAGGAUUAGAUACCCUUGUAGUC
rnacentral:rRNA from 1 species